CAAACACAGCCAGGGCUGAAGGCAGAAGAGAGGCAGAAGAGGAGUAAUGGGGCAUCCUGGAGCGAGAAUGCUUUUCUUCCACUGUUGCAGGAGGAAACUAGCUGAGGUGGAAGGAAGAGAAGACUUAAAGAAAAGAGGGAAGAAUUGUGAGCAUGGAAGGAAUCUUCCUCUGUAGAAGAGUCUUUUCUUUGAGUCAACUUCAACACUACUAGGGCAUGUUCUGAUGGGGUCUCUGAUGCAUCCUGCACUGAUUUCAAGCACCCACAUCAGUAGGAAAUCUGCCAGGCAG